UGGGGAAUAUUGGACAAUGGGCGCAAGCCUGAUCCAGCCAUGCCGCGUGAGUGAUGAAGGCCCUAGGGUUGUAAAGCUCUCUCACCGGUGAAGAUAAUGACGGUAACCGGAGAAGAAGCCCCGGCUAACUUCGUGCCAGCAGCCGCGGUAAUACGAAGGGGGCUAGCGUUGUUCGGAUUUACUGGGCGUAAAGCGCACGUAGGCGGACUUUUAAGUCAGGGGUGAAAUCCCGGGGCUCAACCCCGGAACUGCCUUUGAUACUGGAAGUCUUGAGUAUGGUAGAGGUGAGUGGAAUUCCGAGUAUAGGGGUGAAAUUCGUAGAUAUUCGGAGGAACACCAGUGGCGAAGGCGGCUCACUGGACCAUUACUGACGCUGAGGUGCGAAAGCGUGGGGAGCAAACAGG
rnacentral:rRNA from 1 species